rnacentral:tRNA from 1 species
GGGCCUUUAGCUCAGUCGGUAGAGCGCCACGUUUACACCGUGGAUGUCGUCGGUUCGAUCCCGGCAGGGCCCACCA